UGGCGGGUGAGCGGGCGGGCGGCAUUCUGAGCAGGGCUGAGCAACUCAAAAAGAACACAGAAGUAAGCGUCUCACUCGAUCUCUUUGGAAGUAGAUGGGAAUUCCGAUGAUCACUUCGGCGAUAAGGAUGAGCAGCACACAGUGUCUGAGAUCCAAGUGGAUGUAACUGCUCACCAGACGGAGAAGACAACGGAUCUCGUAGAUAGCUCCGAUGCAGCCAAGGAAGCCCAGGGCUAUUGACAAGGACCCCACUCCAAUGAAGAUGUAGGAAGACACUUUCGCCUGACGAGCUGCCGAUUCUUCUGUAGAAAAGAAAAAAACAAUAGUUGAUAUGAGACUUGAGGGGAAAAAAGAACCGAAACUGCAUUGGACAUUUUUGGGAGAUAAGAAACCACGCGGUUUCUUAAUAAACUCCGCUCUUCUUCUUCUGCUGUAACCACAGAAAAUGUUUCCAAAAUUAUUUCAGCUCACACGCAAACGAAUUUGAUAUGGCUAGUCACAGUGAACCAAAAAAAUAACAAGGCUCCUUAAAGCAAACAGAAUGAAAUACUUUUUCCCCAAAAAAGCAUUUCUCGAACAUUAUCAGCUAGCUAGAGUUGAAGCGAGACAAGUAAAAUAUGUGGCGAGAUUAACUGAUUGCCUGCCCUCUCUGGAACAGUUGGGGGGAAUGCAAUGGUAGAUUGGAAGUUUCCAGAGGAGAUCAAUCACAAGUCACUAUGUUGCCAUGUGUUAUCUGUGUUGAAAACCAACCAUAACAAAAAAUCUGAAAAUGAGAGCCGUGGAAUAUUUCCAAGGUGGAAUAAACUGGCCAGAAUCAGAUCAUUCACUCCACACCGUUGCCAAGAGCCUGGCCUGGCAGCUGCUGCAGCUCAUCCACGGCUGCGCAUUGUCGCUUCUUGGCAACCAACCACAUAUACUUAAUCGUGCGCUGAUGCUUUACAUGGUUGUGUGCUCAUCUCAUUAGGCCAGACAUGAUGAAAAUAUCCAUCAUACUCUAAACCAGUCAUACGAGAAUACUGUACUACCAAUGUCUUUUUGCCUGCAGUUAUGGAAGCAACCUCUAUUUAUAUAGCGUAUAAUAAUAAAUGGAAACUGAGGAUAAAGUUCAUGUCUAACAAUGGUGCAACUUCAGAGAAUACUGCGAAUCAAUAAACAUAGCUUCACAAA